rnacentral:rRNA from 1 species
AAUCAACGCUGGCGGCGUGCCUAACACAUGCAAGUCGAACGAGAAAGGAGACUUCGGUCUCUGAGUACAGUGGCGCACGGGUGAGUAACACGUGACUAACCUACCUUGAGUGGGGAAUAACGUUCGGGAAACCGAGGCUAAUACCGCAUAAUACCCACGGGUCAAAGGAGCAAUUCGCUUGAGGAGGGGGUCGCGGCCCGAUUAGUUAGUUGGCGGGGUAAUGGCCCCCACCAAGACGGUGAUCGGUAUCCGGCCUGAGAGGGCGCACGGACACACUGGAACUGAAACACGGUCCAGACUCCUACGGGAGGCAGCAGGUGGGGUAAUUUUGCGCAAUGGGGGAAACCCUGACGCAGCAACGCCGCGUGGAGGAUGAAGUCUCUUGGGACGUAAACUCCUUUCGAUCGGGACGAUUAUGACGGUACCGGAAGAAGAAGCCCCGGCUAACUUCGUG